UGGAUCCAGACUUUGAUCCUGGCUCAGGACGAACGCUGGCGGCGUGCCUAACACAUGCAAGUCGAACGGGGUGUUUAUUUCGGUAAACACCAAGUGGCGAACGGGUGAGUAACGCGUAAGCAAUCUACCUUCAAGAUGGGGACAACACUUCGAAAGGGGUGCUAAUACCGAAUGAAUGUAAGAGUAUCGCAUGAGACACUUACUAAAGGAGGCCUCUGACAUAAGCUUCCGCUUGAAGAUGAGCUUGCGUCUGAUUAGCUAGUUGGUGAGGGUAAAGGCCCACCAAGGCGACGAUCAGUAGCCGGUCUGAGAGGAUGAACGGCCACAUUGGGACUGAGACACGGCCCAGACUCCUACGGGAGGCAGCAGUGGGGAAUCUUCCGCAAUGGGCGAAAGCCUGACGGAGCAACGCCGCGUGAACGAUGAAGGUCUUAGGAUCGUAAAGUUCUGCUGUUAGGGACGAAGGGUAAGAAUCAUAAUAAGGUUUUUAUUUGACGGUACCUAACGAGGAAGCCACGGCUAACUACGUGCCAGCAGCCGCGGUAAUACGUAGGCGGCAAGCGUUGUCCGGAAUUAUUGGGCGUAAAGGGAGCGCAGGCGGGAAACUAAGCGGAUCUUAAAAGUGCGGGGCUCAACCCCGUGAUGGGGUCCGAACUGGUUUUCUUGAGUGCAAGAGAGGAAAGCGGAAUUCCCAGUGUAGCGGUGAAAUGCGUAGAUAUUGGGAAGAACACCAGUGGCGAAGGCGGCUUUCUGGACUGUAACUGACGCUGAGGCUCGAAAGCUAGGGUAGCGAACGGGAUUAGAUACCCCGGUAGUCCUAGCCGUAAACGAUGGAUACUAGGUGUGGGAGGUAUCGACUCCUUCCGUGCCGGAGUUAACGCAAUAAGUAUCCCGCCUGGGGAGUACGGCCGCAAGGUUGCAACUCAAAGGAAUUGACGGA
rnacentral:rRNA from 1 species